GUUUAAAUAUCUUAAGGUUAAAGUGUAUUAUUGAAGAUGAUAUGAUGAUUUUUUAAAAAUCUUUAAACA
rnacentral:tRNA from 1 species